rnacentral:rRNA from 1 species
GCCUCUGCCUGCUGGUCCGCCAUUUGGUGUGUACUGGUUUCGGUGGAGGCUUACCUCCUGGUGAGCCGGCAUGCCCUUUACUGGGUGUGUUGGUGAACCCGGACUUUUACUUUGAAAAAAUUAGAGUGUUCAAAGCAGGCAUUUGCCCGAAUACAUUAGCAUGGAAUAAUAGAAUAGGACGUGCGUUUCUAUUUUGUUGGUUUCUAGGAUCGCCGUA